ACACAUUCCGGAGAAUGCCACGGUCUUGUGUAGUCUUUACUAUAAUUGUGUUUGAAAGAUAUAACCUUUGGGUGAAUGUCAUUUUCAUGUUAACAUGGGAUUUGAAUUCGGCCACCUGUAGCAUACAAUACUUUUGUUGCUAGCCGAUUCUCAAUCAAACUUUAAUCAUUCUAGCUAGUUUUUUUUUGUACUUCGGCGCACAGUUCUGACUAUGAUUGACAGCCAUGUAAACCAAUGACAGGACAGUAAAGUUUUGUGUACACUAUCGUUGGCAUGGUUACUCGUUGACAUUACAAGAUUCUGGAAAACGGAGGCGGGUCAGUAGUUAAGCACGGGUGGAUGCACUUUCUAGGUGUAUGGAUUUUUGACCAGCAAUUUACGGACAAUAAUUACAAAGUGACCCCUGCCUGACCUGUGACAAGUCACAUCAUCCUCAGAGAGUGGCACCAGCAUGGCAGGGCUGGCGUUGGAGUGGAGGGGCUGACGUCAUGCUCUCACCAUCCUGACAAAUCCCUCAGUACUAGAACGAGAGAGGGAGGAAAAGCCUUAGAGGGAGACAGACAGCCCUUGACAGUGGAACGAGAGAGAGAGAGAGGAUAGAGAAGAAGGGAAAAAGAAGGGAGGAGAGGAGAGGGAUUAAGCCUCAUCAAAAGAAACAACAGUUCUCUUUUACAAUACAUCUCAUUGACUUACCAUGCCAGUAAAGCUCAUUGAAUGGAACUGAGAGUACAAAAGUCACAUCAGUCUUUUCAACCACUCUCCUCUUUCCUGGUUGUUGUUGUAGGCCCAAAUUACAAUAUGAUCUCAGUCAACUUACCUGGUAACAUAAGGGUUAGAUAAAUAACAUCAGUCAACUUACCUGGUAACAUAAGGGUUGGAUAAAUAACAUCAGUCAACUUACCUGGUAACAUAAGGGUUGGAUAAAUGACAUCAGUCAACUUACCUGGUAACAUAAGGGUUGGAUAAAUAACAUCAGUCAACUUACCUGGUAACAUAAGGGUUAGAUAAAUGACAUCAGUCAACUUACCUGGUAACAUAAGGGUUGGAUAAAUAACAUCAGUCAACUUACCUGGUAACAUAAGGGUUGGAUAAAUAACAUCAGUCAACUUACCUGGUAACAUAAGGGUUAGAUAAAUAACAUCAGUCAACUUACCUGGUAGCAUAAGGGUUGGAUAAAUAACAUCAGUCAACUUACCUGGUAACAUAAGGGUUAGAUAAAUAACAUCAGUCAACUUACCUGGUAACAUAAGGGUUGGAUAAAUAACAUCAGUCAACUUACCUGGUAACAUAAGGGUUGGAUAAAUAACAUCAGUCAACUUACCUGGUAACAUAAGGGUUGGAUAAAUAACAUGUCAACUUACCUGGUAACAUAAGGGUUGGAUAAAUAACAUCAGCCAACUUACCUGGUAACAUAAUGGUUAGAUAAAUAACAUCAGUCAACUUACCUGGUAACAUAAGGGUUGGAUAAAUAACAUCAGUCAACUUACCUGGUAACAUAAGGGUUAGAUAAAUAACAUCAGUCAACUUACCUGGUAACAUAAGGGUUGGAUAAAUAACAUCAGUCAACUUACCUGGUAACAUAAGGGUUGGAUAAAUAACAUCAGUCAACUUACCUGGUAGCAUAAGGGUUGGAUAAAUAACAUCAGUCAACUUACCUGGUAACAUAAGGGUUAGAUAAAUAACAUCAGUCAACUUACCUGGUAACAUAAGGGUUGGA